rnacentral:snRNA from 1 species
AUAGCUUCUCAGCCUUUUGGCUAAGAUCAAGUGUAGUAUCUGUAAUACAAACACACUCUUGAUUUUGUUUUGGUUUGUUCGGGUUUAUCUUGUCCCAAUUAAGUGGUAUGUACUGUUUCGUCUUCCCCCAGUCUCCUCGGCCUUGCUUCUUAUCUCAAUGCCAGGCAGAGAAGCUUGGAAUAA